rfam:Borrelia duttonii CR2A Contig0001, whole genome shotgun sequence.
CGCAGGGUGGAGCAGCUGGGUAGCUCGUCGGGCUCAUAACCCGAAGAUCGCAGGUUCAAGUCCUGCCCCUGCUA